GACGAACGCUGGCGGCGUGCUUAACACAUGCAAGUCGAACGACGAAGCCGGAGCUUGCUCUGGUGAAUUAGUGGCGAACGGGUGAGUAACACGUGAGUAACCUGCCCUUGACUCUGGGAUAACUGCGGGAAACUGUAGCUAAUACCGGAUACGACCCUCGGAGGCAUCUCCUGGGGGUGGAAAGAAUUUCGGUCAAGGAUGGACUCGCGGCCUAUCAGCUAGUUGGUGAGGUAAAGGCUGACCAAGGCGACGACGGGUAGCCGGCCUGAGAGGGUGCCCGGCCACACUGGGACGGAGGCACGGCCCAGACUCCUACAGGAGGCAGCAGUGGGGAAUAUUGCACUAUGGGCGCGAGCCUGAUGCAGCAACGCCGCGUGGGGGAUGACGGCCUUCGGGUUGUAAACCUCUUUUAGCAGGGAAGAAGCGAAAGUGACGGUACCUGCAGAAAAAGCACCGGCUAACUACGUGCCAGCCGCCGCCGUAA
rnacentral:rRNA from 1 species